rnacentral:rRNA from 1 species
CUAAACGAUGUCAACUAGUUGUUGGGGAUUCAUUUCCUUAGUAACGUAGCUAACGCGUGAAGUUGACCGCCUGGGGAGUACGGUCGCAAGAUUAAAACUCAAAGGAAUUGACGGGGACCCGCACAAGCGGUGGAUGAUGUGGACUAAUUCGAUGCAACGCGAAAAACCUUACCUACCCUUGACAUGGUCGGAAUCCUGCUGAGAGGCGGGAGUGCUCGAAAGAGAACCGGCGCACAGGUGCUGCAUGGCUGUCGUCAGCUCGUGUCGUGAGAUGUUGGGUUAAGUCCCGCAACGAGCGCAACCCUUGUCCUUAGUUGCUACGCAAGAGCACUCUAAGGAGACUGCCGGUGACAAACCGGAGGAAGGUGGGGAUGACGUCAAGUCCUCAUGGCCCUUAUGGGUAGGGCUUCACACGUCAUACAAUGGUCGGAACAGAGGGUUGCCAAGCCGCGAGGCGGAGCCAAUCCCAGAAAACCGAUCGUAGUCCGGAUCGCAGUCUGCAACUCGACUGCGUGAAGCUGGAAUCGCUAGAAUCGCGGAUCAGCAUGCCGCG